GACGAACGCUGGCGGCGUGCUUAACACAUGCAAGUCGAACGAUGAACCAGGGCUUGCCCUGGGGAUUAGUGGCGAACGGGUGAGUAACACGUGGGCAACCUGCCCCAGACACCGGGAUAACCUCUCGAAAGAGUGGCUAAUACCGGAUACGACCACUUUGGGCAUCCAACGGUGGUGGAAAGGAUUCUGGUCUGGGAUGGGCCCGCGGCCUAUCAGCUUGUUGGUGGGGUAAUGGCCUACCAAGGCGACGACGGGUAGCCGGCCUGAGAGGGCGACCGGCCACACUGGGACUGAGACACGGCCCAGACUCCUACGGGAGGCAGCAGUGGGGAAUAUUGCGCAAUGGGCGAAAGCCUGACGCAGCGACGCCGCGUGAGGGACGAAGGUCUUCGGAUUGUAAACCGCUUUUAGUCGGGAAGAAAGGCACGUCCCAAUACGGCGUGUUCUUGACGGUACCGGCGGAAUAAGCACCGGCUAACUACGUG
rnacentral:rRNA from 1 species